AACGAACGCUGGCGGCAUGCCUAACACAUGCAAGUCGAACGAGACCUUCGGGUCUAGUGGCGCACGGGUGCGUAACGCGUGGGAACCUGCCCUUAGGUUCGGAAUAACUCCCCGAAAGGGGUGCUAAUACCGGAUAAUGUCUUCGGACCAAAGAUUUAUCGCCUUUGGAUGGGCCCGCGUUGGAUUAGCUAGUUGGUAGGGUAAAAGCCUACCAAGGCGACGAUCCAUAGCUGGUCUGAGAGGAUGAUCAGCCACACUGGGACUGAGACACGGCCCAGACUCCUACGGGAGGCAGGAGUGGGGAAUAGUGGACAAUGGGCGAAAGCAUGAUGCAGCAAGGACGCGUGAGUGAUGAAGGCCUUAGGGUUGUAAAGCUCUUUUAACCGGGAUGAUAAUGACAGUACCGGGAGAAUAAGCUCCGGCUAACUCCGUG
rnacentral:rRNA from 1 species